rnacentral:tRNA from 1 species
GAAAUAUAUAAUGAAGCUUCUAACUUCUAAAGCAGCAAAUAAUGUUGAUAUUUCU